AUGAUCGCAAACAGGGUCCAAAUGCUGGCCCGUGGAGCAAAGUCUUGGGAGAGUUUGCUGACCCAACAGGGUACAUCGAAAACGUGCUCAGGAAGUUGUUUUUAUGUCAUGAUCUGGGGAUUAAAUCCUCCCAAAGUGUGCAAUGAUGAAGCAAAGAAGAAUUCCACCACACCUUUGAUGAUGAGAAUUUGGGCUCUUGGAAACAUUCUCAAAGACUUCAGUCAGUCUUCCUCUUUUCUUUGCAAUCAGAUCAACAGGGGACACAUUUGGGAAAAGUUUUUAAUUCCAAGGAUUCCUUCUCAGCAACACUGGACAAAGUUAGGAAAGAAGGCAAGGGGCUUGGUUAAAAUCACGCCAGAAGUUAGUCCUCCAUAAACAAGGAAGAGAAUCAUCACCAGCAACGGAAUCUGCUGCUGCUGCCAUCUUGAUCCUGGACUUCCAGUCUCCAGAACUGUGAGAAAUCAAUAUCUGUUGUUUCAGCCACCCAGCCUAUGGUAUUCUAUUACAGCAGCUUUAGCUAACCACAGUACUGUUGGUAGCUAAUCUGUGUGAUUGUACCACACCCAUAGUACCUUUCAUAAACUAUUGUAGUAAGUGACAUUUUCUAUUUAUGCAGCUCUAGUGUUCAAUUCACCUUGUAUUUCAUAUACUAAGAUACUGUUUAUUUGAUUAUUCAUCUAGUAAUUCAUUAUAUUCAACAAUUUUACCUUAAAAGCUUCUAAAGUCAAGCCUGAACUGUGCAAUAUUUUUAAAAUCUGUGUAAUUUUAUAAUGCUGCAUUUGCACUGCAUUUUCAUUAUAAUUUUUACCCAGUUCUUGCUAGCAUGAUUGAGGCAGCUGAAUAUUUUAUUUUAAGCCCUGAAACUGAGAUGGGGCUUGGUGAUGUCUUCAGUGGUAAUCGUAGGGAAAAGGAUAUUUGCAGUAGAACAUCCAGGCCUAUUGUGCAGGCCUGUGGGUUAUAGCCUGACCCACUUGCUUGCAGUUCUCUCACUAGAAAAGGCAGUCCUCCCUGCUCAGGCAUUUGGCAGAAAGCCCAAUGAAACUACUUGUGUUUUGGUGAGAGCAACUGAUCUGUGAGGAAUUCUUGAAUACAGAAGAGAGAAAUAGGACAUUUUCCAAGGUCCCAGUAACUAUAGGAACAUGGAACAACAGCAUUUUGGAAUAUGUAUGCAGGGCAUCAGGGAGCAUGAACUAUGUGGCUGCAUGCCUGCUGGGAGUGACUGUCAGAAGUUUCCUUUACAGGCUCUUGAGGGUUCCACGUAGAAUGUCUAAAAAUUAUUUUUUCAAGAGUGGAAUGAGCUAAUAUCAAUUAUGUUGAUCUAAACACUGCCUACCAAUUUUCCAUGUAUUAUCUCGUAUGAUGGAAGAUUAAAAAUAAAAUAAUUAGAAAAAAAUAGCUUCUAUGUAUUGAAGACCUAGGAUGGAUUAGGUCUUUAAUAUGUUAUUGAAUUAAUCCCUCAUCAAAUUCCACAGAUUUGUGUGCCUAUUUUAUGUAUCUAAGAAGAAGCAUAGACUUACAAAAAAUAGUUUUUGGGCCUGGCAUGGUAGCUUAUGCCUGUAAUCCUAGGACUUUGGGAGGCUCAGAUGGGAGUCUGGCCAACAUGGCGAAAUCCUGUCUCUACUAAAAAUACAAAAAUUAGCCUGACAUGGUGGCAGAAACCUGUAAUCUCAGGUUUCCGGGAGGCUGAUGCAGGAGAAUCACUUGAACCUGGGAGGUAGAGGUUGCAGUGAGCUGAAAUUGCACCAUUGUACUCCAGCCUGGGCAACAGAGCAAGAAUCCGUCUCCAAAAUAAUAAUAAUAAUAGUAACAAUAAUAAUAAUUUCUGACGUUCACAUAACUAUGUCAUAGAACUGAGGUUUAAACCUAUAUCUGUUUACUCUAAAGCCAAAUCUAAGAACAGAAACAUUUGGUAGUAACUAAUAUAUUGCAUUCCCUAUUCCCACAUAGAUAUUUAUUUUUAUAGGUGUAAUAAGUUUCCCAACAAGCCAAUUAAUUUAUUUCCAUUAGGUCAAUUUUAUGAUUUAUUUCAGGCUCUAGACAUAAGCUAGGAGUUAUUUCUAUCCCCUAACAUAAUCAAAGCAUGC
rnacentral:lncRNA from 1 species